UACGGGGGGGCAAGCGUUGUUCGGAAUUACUGGGCGUAAAGGGCUCGUAGGCGGCCAACUAAGUCAGACGUGAAAUCCCUCGGCUUAACCGGGGAACUGCGUCUGAUACUGGAUGGCUUGAAUUCGGGAGAGGGAUGCGGAAUUCCAGGUGUAGCGGUGAAAUGCGUAGAUAUCUGGAGGAACACCGGUGGCGAAGGCGGCAUCCUGGACCGGACAUUGACGGCUGAGGAGCGAAAGCCAGGGGAGCAAACGGGAUAGAUACCCCGAGUAGUCC
rnacentral:rRNA from 1 species